CCUACGGGAGGCAGCAGUGAGGAAUAUUGGUCAAUGGGCGAGAGCCUGAACCAGCCAAGUCGCGUGAGGGAAGACGGCUCUACGGGUUGUAAACCUCAUUUGCCGGGGAGCAAGCCUGAGCACGUGUGCCCAGGCGGAGAGUACCCGGAGAAAAAGCAUCGGCUAACUCCGUGCCAGCAGCCGCGGUAAUACGGAGGAUGCGAGGGUUAUCCGGAUUUAUUGGGUUUAAGGGGUGCGCAGGCGGGCUUGUAAGCCGGCGUGAAAAAUUCAGGGCUCAACCCUGUAGAGCCGUGGGAACUGGCAGUCUUGAGUGGGCGAGAGGUAGGCGGAAUGCGUGGUGUAGCGGUGAAAUGCAUAGAUAUCACGCAGAACGCCGAUUGCGAAGGCAGCAUACCGGCGCCCAACUGACGUUGAGGCACGAAAGCGUGGGGAUCGAACAGGAUUAGAUACCCCUGUAGUC
rnacentral:rRNA from 1 species